CCUACGGGAGGCAGCAGUGAGGAAUAUUGGUCAAUGGACGAGAGUCUGAACCAGCCAAGUAGCGUGAAGGAUGACUGCCCUAUGGGUUGUAAACUUCUUUUAUAUGGGAAUAAAAUGUUCCACGUGUGGGGUUUUGUAUGUACCAUAUGAAUAAGGAUCGGCUAACUCCGUGCCAGCAGCCGCGGUAAUACGGAGGAUCCGAGCGUUAUCCGGAUUUAUUGGGUUUAAAGGGAGCGUAGGUGGUUUGUUAAGUCAGUUGUGAAAGUUUGCGGCUCAACCGUAAAAUUGCAGCUGAUACUGGAAGUCUUGAGUACAGUAGAGGCAGGCGGAAUUCGUGGUGUAGCGGUGAAAUGCAUAGAUAUAACGAAGAACUCCGAUUGCGAAGGCAGUUCACUGGGCCGGAACUGACACUGAGGCUCGAAAGUGUGGGUAUCAAACAGGAUUAGAUACCCUAGUAGUC
rnacentral:rRNA from 1 species